CAUGAUGUCACUGUUCUUUUUUUGGAUUCCAGCUGAUCACAUGCACCAACACAUGUUGAAGGUUACAGACAAUCUUCAGUUACUCUUUAUAGGGGCCGGUAAUGUAAAAGACAAGUGAUCGGCGUUACAUUUACAAAUAAUAUUUUAAAUGAUCAAACUAAUAAUAUAUCAUACAAACCAAAAAAUUACAAGUAUAUAUGGCGCUAGAAAUAUAUUGAUUGUUAAAUAGCAGCACCGUAUCAGUGUACCAGCUUUACACAACACUAAAAUAGAAAGUAUCAAACCAAAAUACAAAGUGCGCUUGUGCCUUUAAAAUCGUACCUUUCAAAUAUACAUGCUUUUAAAAUGUCACAAAGGUGUUUAAAAGACAGCAAACAGUGCUUAUUAAUUAUUGUGCAAAUGACACAUCCAAUUGUGCUUCAAUUAAAGUGCAAUUACAGACUUUUGUGUGUAUGCAAAAAGCUAAUUAUUUAGUCUACCUCAAUACAAAAAGAAAGCAGCCCGAUCCUCCUUUUCCUACAGAGCACCGCAAUUA